GACGAACGCUGGCGGCGUGCCUAACACAUGCAAGUUGAGCGACGAACCAGGGCUUGCCCUGGGGCAAAGCAGCGAACGGGUGAGUAACACGUGGGUAACCUGCCCCGAUGAUCGGGACAACCCGAGGAAACUCGGGCUAAUACCGAAUGUGCUCGCCGGACACCAGUCCGGCGCGUAAAGGAAGCUUCGGCCUCCGCAUCGGGAGGGGCCCGCGGCCCAUUAGCUUGUUGGUGAGGUAACGGCUCACCAAGGCAACGAUGGGUAGCUGGUCUGAGAGGACGAUCAGCCACACUGGGACGGAGACACGGCCCAGACUCCUACGGGAGUCAGCAGUGGGGAAUCUUGCGCAAUGCGCGAAAGCGUGACGCAGCAACGCCGCGUGGGGGAAGAAGGCCUUCGGGUUGUAAACCCCUUUCAGGAGGGACGAAGGUUCGGCGGUGAAUAGCCGUCCGGACUGACGGUACCUCCACAAGAAGCCCCGGCUAACUACGUGCCAGCAGCCGCCGUAAUAC
rnacentral:rRNA from 1 species